GAUGAACGCUGGCGGCGUGCCUAAUACAUGCAAGUCGAGCGAACAGACGAGGAGCUUGCUCCUUUGACGUUAGCGGCGGACGGGUGAGUAACACGUGGGUAACCUACCUAUAAGACUGGGAUAACUUCGGGAAACCGGAGCUAAUACCGGAUAAUAUUUCGAACCGCAUGGUUCGAUAGUGAAAGAUGGCUUUGCUAUCACUUAUAGAUGGACCUGCGCCGCAUUAGCUAGUUGGUAAGGUAACGGCUUACCAAGGCAACGAUACGUAGCCGACCUGAGAGGGUGAUCGGCCACACUGGAACUGAGACACGGUCCAGACUCCUACGGGAGGCAGCAGUAGGGAAUCUUCCGCAAUGGGCGAAAGCCUGACGGAGCAACGCCGCGUGAGUGAUGAAGGUCUUCGGAUCGUAAAACUCUGUUAUUAGGGAAGAACAAACGUGUAAGUAACUGUGCACGUCUUGACGGUACCUAAUCAGAAAGCCACGGCUAACUACGUG
rnacentral:rRNA from 1 species